rnacentral:lncRNA from 1 species
GGUGUUGUGUUUCGCUGCAUUAUUGUUGUUAGGCGUGACCUAAGUCAUAGAGACUAGGUACCCACGCCAGGAAGGCUGAUCGGUUAUCUUCGAUAGACCGAGCCGCACGUUGUUGGGAUUCGCUUUGUAAUCCCUUCGUUCGCGUCACAAGGAUGGAAACUAAGCCUCAAUAACACGCCAAUUAUGCUACAAUCUUUGAGGAUUUCUUCUGGAUUAUUUCACAGCUUGAAUUAUGGAAUUCCAGCCUUGUGGAACAUGUUCCUCACCUUCAAUGGACCUCCACAAAUUUGCUUGAGCUGAAACUUCUUUAACUAGCCCGUUUAAUGCCUCCUUGAACACUUUAGCUCGUGCUCUUGUAACUGGCCCAGUUGGAACUUGAACGGGUUCCUUUGUAGUCAUGUCAUUAUUUGCAUCAAUUGGGUUGAGAUGAAAGAGAGACUUAAAAAAAAUACCUAUCCCGUAACUACUAAGACGAUUUCGUUAACCGAUGGAACACUAAACACAUAUUUGUAAGGCGCCCUGACA